UCUGCAUGAGUGCCACAGUGCUGGGCUGCUGCAGCAGCAAAUAGAAUCUGGCUGCACACAACCAGCACUCUCCAUCCAGCAGCCUGUGGUGAGCAGGCUGCUUGUCUCCCUGCCUCCCCACCCUGGGCCACGUCAGCAGCUAGUCCGACUGCUCAAUACCGCUGUUAUGGAGGAGACACCUGAGCACAGAGGUACUCCUGAAAUUCCUUCUGAAUGAGAGGAAUGCCAUGUCUUCUAAAUAUCAAUGGAUAUUUCAUCAUUUCUGCUGUGCAAGUUAGUGUUCAAGGAGAUACUGACCAGCGUGGAGACAGGAGCAAUAGAAAUGUACCACUGAUAUUCCUAAAAGACAAAGCACAAGGGAAAAGCAUCUUCAGAUGAAGUCACCUUUCCCUCCAGGUCGUGUCAUCUUCAGGCACACAGGCAGAAGGAGGGAACAUGCCUUCCCAGAAUGAGCAGCACUGUCCAGGAGUGCCUCAUCAGUGGGCAAGUGUCAAUAUCCUGCUGGUGUCCUUACCCCUGUGCCCUCAAACACCACCCACUGGGCAAUGUGGCACUUCUUUAUAAGACCUCCUCACAGUAGAAACCAGGUGCCACAACAGUAACAUAAAUUUUCUCAAUUCUAAAAAUUUGCAAAGGAUUAUGCUCCAGAUUUGGGGUUUUUUUUUCAUUAGCUGCCUGGUGUAGUAAAAUUAAAGACCCACUUAUGAUAGAUGACAGUAGAUCAACAGUGUUCAAAUGGAAGUCUACAGAUGUUUUUGCCAAUGGUGUCUGAAUAAAACAGGGACUCC